GACGAGGAGGGUGGGAACCGAACA
rnacentral:piRNA from 1 species